CCAGUGUGUUUCGAGGGGGGAGACAGCAUGCAGGGAGGGAGCAGGUGGACGUGGGCAUCAGGAACCCAACCCAAGCCAACCGCCCCCACUCCUACCCCAGCCUCCUGCCGCCCUCUCCAAGGAGUCUGGGUUUAAUUUUCUGGUCAGUGUGAAAAGGAGGAGGAAGAGGAUGAGGAGGAGAAGAAAGGAGGGAGUUAAAGUUCUAAUGCAGUCGGCUGGGAUCUGUCACUCAGCGUACAGCUCGCUGACGACUCAGGGCAGCUUCAGCUGUAAGCAGCCCGUGAUUUAUGGACACCGAGUGAACUCCUGCGGCAGAAACCAGCCUUGAGAUCAGAGCAGCAAUAGGGCCCUUUUUUGGCAGGAGACAGGGCCUGCAUUUUUCUCAUUCAUGCCAAACUGCUUUGCACGGCAAUUAGCUCUGUCCUCAUUUAGUCUCCAGUCCCAAAGGGUAAUGAAAGUCAUAUAUCAUCUUCAGGACUGCUAAUUAUUGAGCUCGCUUACAGGUGUGGAGUGUAUAAGGCUAAUACCAGAAACGGUUUCGUCUGGGCCCUUUGCCUUCAAGUUGAUGGUCUCACCACCGAGUGGACGUAGUGUCUGGAUUAUAGUCUGCACCAGCGAUUUCCAUGAGUGUGGUUAACUAAGGGGAAGACAGACCAGACAUCAGAUCUCAGUCAGAUAAAUCCAUCUGAAACGAAAGGGGCCGAGGCCGAGGCUGGCACAAAGAAAAGGAUUCCUUGCCAAAGUCACACAGGAAGACACUCCGAAAGACCUCCCCCAAAGAAGAGGGCGGACAGGGUUCCUCUGGAGUUCCCUUUCCCUAAGGGCUUGGCGUUCAACUUUUGAUCCUAGUUCCACAUGAGGUUUCAUAUAAGUGAUUGUAUUAUUAUUAUUUUUUUGCAUGGGUGAAAAGCCACAAAUUAUUAACUCUGAAUUUCAAAGACUGCAUUCUUCUCACUCAGGGGUGGCAUCUCUUCACUGUUCAGGCACGGGCGGCCUCACAGAACGGACGUGGCCCAGACCUCACUUGACCUCUGAGAGGCCCUGAAGGCAGUUGCCCAAGGGCAGGGGCAGGGGGCAGGGCAGA